rnacentral:rRNA from 1 species
UUGGAAAGCUUCGGCCGGAAGAUGCGUUAUCUAGUGGCGGACGGGUGAGUAACACGUGGGUAACCUGCCUUAUGGAGGGGGAUAACAGAGAGAAAUCACUGCUAAUACCGCAUAAGCACACAGUACCGCAUGGUACAGGGUGAAAAGAUUUAUCGCCAUAAGAUGGACCCGCGUCUGAUUAGCCAGUUGGCAGGGUAAAAGCCUACCAAAGCAACGAUCAGUAGCCGAUCUGAGAGGAUGACCGGCCACAUUGGGACUGAGACACGGCCCAAACUCCUACGGGAGGCAGCAGUGGGGAAUAUUGCACAAUGGGGGAAACCCUGAUGCAGCGACGCCGCGUGAGUGAAGAAGUAUUUCGGUAUGUAAAGCUCUAUCAGCAGGGAAGAUAAUGACUUACCUGACUAAGAG